UACGGGAAAUAAAAUCACAUAAUUUAUAUAUCUGGCACUAGUAGAAAGAUAUUAAUUUGCUGCCAUGACUUAGCGGCGUUAAUUUGAAAACGCCUCUAACUAAAUAACAAAAUAGAUGAAUUAGGUGAAAAAAACUUCCUUUGCGGCGUUAUCUUGAAUUAUGACGCCUCAAACCAUUUUAGUUUGCUGCGUCAUCACGUUAAACGCCGCAACGGGUGGUCCCAGAAACAUAUUCACCCGCGUUUAGCUUCUUUCUUUUGCUUCUCGUCAUUUCACAAAACCACAUUCUUCUUCCUUCAACCUCAUCUCCACCAUCGUCGUAUGUCCUUCGACCUCAUCUCCACCACCGAAUUCACCGAGAAAGUGAAGCUUCAGAUUCAUCUCCACCGUCAAUGUCUGUCCUUCGACCUCAUCUCCACCACUGCCUUUCUUACUUAAGGUAAGGUGCUUCGAAGAAAGAAGAUCACAAAUUUGAGAAAAACACAAGUUUUAUUCCAGUUUGCUUAUCACUGAGUGGAGAUCCUUUCACCGAUGAGCAAAUUGAUGAAAUACGAGACAAAUGCAUGGGCAUCAUACUUCACAGAACAUUGUGUGUAAUUAACGCUUCAUCGAUCUCUUUUUGUGGAUGUUUCAUGCUAUUAAAAUCAUAUAUAAUUGCUUAUUUUAUUUUUGGUGCAAUUUUGUAACGUAUGAUAUAGUUAUUAUAGACUUGAACCUAUUUAGGUGGUUUAUUUUUGUAAACAUAUGAUGGUUAACUUAUAUGUAAAAAUCAAAGUUUCUUGGAAGUUAUUGGUGGUUGAUGACA